rnacentral:rRNA from 1 species
AGAGUUUGAUCCUGGCUCAGGACGAACGCUGGCGGCGUGCUUAACACAUGCAAGUCGAACGAAAAGACGGAAAGAGCUUGCUCUUUCCGGAAUUGAGUGGCAAACGGGUGAGUAACACGUAAACAACCUGCCUUCAGGAUGGGGACAACAGACGGAAACGACUGCUAAUACCGAAUAAGUUCCAAGAGCCGCAUGGCCCAUGGAAGAAAAGGUGGCCUCUACCUGUAAGCUAUCGCCUGAAGAGGGGUUUGCGUCUGAUUAGCUGGUUGGAGGGGUAACGGCCCACCAAGGCGACGAUCAGUAGCCGGUCUGAGAGGAUGAACGGCCACACUGGAACUGAGACACGGUCCAGACUCCUACGGGAGGCAGCAGUGGGGAAUCUUCCGCAAUGGGCGAAAGCCUGACGGAGCAACGCCGCGUGAGUGAUGACGGCCUUCGGGUUGUAAAACUCUGUGAUCCGGGACGAAAAGGCAGAGUGCGAAGAACAAACUGCAUUGACGGUACCGGAAAAGCAAGCCACGGCUAACUACGUGCCAGCAGCCGCGGUAAUACGUAGGUGGCAAGCGUUGUCCGGAAUUAUUGGGCGUAAAGCGCGCGCAGGCGGCUUCCCAAGUCCCUCUUAAAAGUGCGGGGCUUAACCCCGUGAUGGGAAGGAAACUGGGAAGCUGGAGUAUCGGAGAGGAAAGUGGAAUUCCUAGUGUAGCGGUGAAAUGCGUAGAGAUUAGGAAGAACACCGGUGGCGAAGGCGACUUUCUGGACGAAAACUGACGCUGAGGCGCGAAAGCGUGGGGAGCAAACAGGAUUAGAUACCCUGGUAGUCCACGCCGUAAACGAUG